rnacentral:rRNA from 1 species
GACGAACGCUGGCGGCGUGCCUAAUACAUGCAAGUAGAACGCAGUUGCGAACGGGUGAGUAACGCGUAGGUAACUGCCUCAUAGCGGGGGAUAACUAUUGGAAACGAUAGCUAAUACCUCAUACUGUGAGAUGGACCUGCGUGGUAUUAGCUAGUUGGGUAGGUAAAGGCUCACCAAGGCGACGAUACAUAGCCGACGUGAGAGGGUGAGCGGCCACACAGGGACGGAGACACGACCCAGACUACACCGGGAGGCAGCAGAAGGGAAUCUUCGGCAAUGGACGGAAGUCUGACCGAGCAAAGCCGCGUGAGUGAAGAAGGGUUUCGGAUAGUAAAGCUCUUUUUUUAGAGAAGCGGUAACUAGCCAGAAAGGGACGGCUAACUACGUGCCAGCAGCCGCGGUAAUUC